rnacentral:tRNA from 2 species
GCGGAUGUAGCCAAUUUUUCGGUGGAUCAAGGCAGUGGAUUGUGAAUCCACCAUGCGCGGGUUCAAUUCCCGUCGUUCGCC